GGGAAAGGGAAACCUUUCUUCAACCCUAGUUCAUCAAAAAUCUAAGAAUUGGAUGUGCUUAUGGGUCAAAUUCGAAUGCAUGUGAUGAAAUUUCCAACCAUCUAACAGUUUCCUACAUAGGGAGUGAAAGAAGAAGGAGCUAGUUCCGGUUCACAAACAAAGGCUCAAGAUCGAGGUAAAGCACAAGUAUAAAUGUCAUUGCGUCACUCGGAUACGAACACACCUUGAUCACCCGUGAUGCGCUUCCGCAACUUUUGUAGUAACUU